rnacentral:rRNA from 1 species
UACGUAGGUGGCAAGCGUUGUCCGGAUUUACUGGGCGUAAAGAGCGCGCAGGCGGUCGAUUUAGUCGCGUGUGAAAGCCCCCGGCUCAACUGGGGAGGGUCGACGCGAUACUGAUCGACUCGAAGGCAGGAGAGGGUAGUGGAAUUCCCGGUGUAGUGGUGAAAUGCGUAGAUAUCGGGAGGAACACCAGUGGCGAAGGCGGCGAUCUGGGAAGAUACUGACGCUGAGGUGCGAAAGCGUGGGGAGCGAACAGG